GACGAACGCUGGCGGCGUGCUUAACACAUGCAAGUCGAACGGUAAGGCCCUUCGGGGUACACGAGUGGCGAACGGGUGAGUAACACGUGGGUGAUCUGCCCUGCACUUCGGGAUAAGCCUGGGAAACUGGGUCUAAUACCGGAUAGGACCCUGGGAUGCAUGUCCUGGGGUGGAAAGCUUUUGCGGUGUGGGAUGGGCCCGCGGCCUAUCAGCUUGUUGGUGGGGUGAUGGCCUACCAAGGCGACGACGGGUAGCCGGCCUGAGAGGGUGACCGGCCACACUGGGACUGGGAGACGGCCCAGACUCCUACGGGAGGCAGCAGUGGGGAAUAUUGCACAAUGGGCGCAAGCCCGAUGCAGCGACGCCGCGUGAGGGAUGACGGCCUUCGGGUUGUAAACCUCUUUCAGCACCGACGAAGCGCAAGUGACGGUAGGUGCAGAAGAAGGACCGGCCAACUACGUGCCAGCCGCCGCAGUAA
rnacentral:rRNA from 1 species